GACGAACGCUGGCGGCGUGCUUAACACAUGCAAGUCGAACGGAAAGGCCCUGCUUUUGUGGGGUGCUCGAGUGGCGAACGGGUGAGUAACACGUGAGUAACCUGCCUUUGCCUUUGGGAUAACUUCAGGAAACUGGGGCUAAUACAGGCUAGGAGCUCCUGUUCCAUGGUGUGGGUUGGAAAGUUUCGGCGGUUGGGGAUGGACUCGCGGCUUAUCAGCUUGUUGGUGGGGUAGUGGCUUACCAAGGCUUUGACGGGUAGCCGGCCUGAGAGGGUGACCGGCCACAUUGGGACUGAGAUACGGCCCAGACUCCUACGGGAGGCAGCAGUGGGGAAUAGUGCACAAUGGGCGGAAGCCUGAUGCAGCAACGCCGCGUGCGGGAUGACGGCCUUCGGGUUGUAAACCGCUUUCGCCUGUGACGAAGCGUGAGUGACGGUAAUGGGUAAAGAAGCACCGGCUAACUACGUG
rnacentral:rRNA from 1 species